CCAUCAGGCAGGAAGGAUGCUGGUGUUGAGGAGAAUAACUACCAUGGCUUCCAGCGCUCUGAUGAAACUUCAAAUGCGUGGCCUUCUGGCCAAGUGUGUGCGAUUUUAUAUUGUUGGAGCAUUCAUUGCAUCUCCUGGGGGUUGCAGCUUUCUAUAAGUUUGCUAUGGCUGAACCAAGAAAGAAGGCAUAUGCAGAUUUCUACAGAAAUUGUGAUUCCGUGAAAGAUUUUGAGGAGAUGAGGAAGGCUGGUAUCUUUCAGAGCGCAAAGUGAUUUUGGAAUGUAAAGAAUUUCUUUGGGUUGAGUUCCAGAGAAGUUUGUCACUCAUUGACCUGUGUUCCUGAACUAUGAAACAUGAAUAUAUGGGCUAAGGAAUAGUUUCUCUUGAUAAAUAAA